ACCCUUUGUACUAAAACCCCGUUAGCAGUUCAUAGAUGACAAAGGAUCUGAGCCUUAGAUAUAUGAAAACUCAUCACUGUGGCAUCUAUAGAGGCAGUGUGGCCAAACAGAACUCAGAAUCCUAGGUUACACAUCACACAUUAACAAAGUAUCAAUAGAACUUGACUCCAGUUCUACUGUUGACCUCAAGCCCAAAAAAGCUAGAGAGCAAACACAGCCUACAGCUUUCAAGGAGAAACACUUGUGGCCUCUUUCUUAAUCAACUUCACGGUGACUUAAAAAUAUUUAUGUUAUGUCAAUUGAUACAAUGAUUGGGAUAUAUUCUAUUUUCUUAAAUAUUCAAGGUUUUGGAAUCUGUAUCUCAUGCCUAUUCUUGAAGACACUUUAAUGUAACCAAGGCUCUGAGAAAUUCUCAGGAAAGAAAAUGGAAGAUUUCUCCUUAAAAGACAAGGAGAGAGAAAUAUGCCAAAAAUGAGAAUAGGGAGUAGAGCCUAAAACCAAAAUUAGUAUUCAGAAAUUCCAAAUGAUGCUGAAAUUCCCAGAGGGAAGUAUUUAUUUAUAUAAGUAUAUUCGGUUAAUUAUUUAUAGAAAUAAAACUCAGGAAAAUUCCACUCUCACUGUUUUUAUCUGCGUACACUGUCCCUAGAGGGCUUGUAUGUGGGUUUCCAUUCUCAGAAUCAGAAAGUCCCUGUUUGUUCUUGUCCUUGUUAUCAUUUUAUUUUAAAAUAAAAUUUGUGAGAGUAGUGAUCACACUAAUUUUUCUCUGUGUUUAGAAGGCCCGCUAUUUUAAAGACUGAUUAUUCAUAUUUUUAAAAAUCACAUUUUUUUCAUAUAUAUAUGAAAGACAUAAAUUUGGAAUGCUUUAAUAAAGUUCAAAAGUCAGGAUAUGUGCUCAUUAGCCUGACAUCAUCAGCUGAAAUGACGCCAUUCGCAUCCAAGACUUAAUGCACUUGCUGUCGAUGUUUGAUGUAUGCCAGGCACAACCUUAUUCUCCACAAAAAGCCAAAGAAAGACCCAAGUAAUAUCAAACUCAGAGAAUGGGAGGCAAGAAAAGGAGAGCGUGAAGUACACAGAUGAUAACAAAUCAUCCAGAAUUAUCAAGAGUCAAGAUGAAGGCCAAAACCAGCAAGGUAAAAUUUAAUAAAUGUAAUAUUCUGCAUUACUCUUCAAGUAAAUUAGUUAAAUAAUUCACUUAGAAAAAGAAAUAAGCAUUUCAGUUAUCUAAAACUCAGUAUAAGCCAAUAUAUGCAACUGGUUACCAAAAACAUUCAUAAACUCCUAAUCUAUACUAAAAGAGGAAAGAAUGAACUUAGACCUGUGCACUCAAUAUUGGUCAGAUCAUAUGUAGUGUAUUUUGUUAAUAUAUGUAUUUUUUUAUUUUUGUGAGUACAUAGUAGGUA
ensembl:lincRNA